AUUGAACGCUGGCGGCAUGCUUUACACAUGCGAGUCGAACGGUAACAGGCCGCAAGGUGCUGACGAGUGGCGCACGGGUGAGUAAUGCAUCGGAACGUGCCCAGUCGUGGGGGAUAACUACUCGAAAGAGUAGCUAAUACCGCAUACGAUCUAUGGAUGAAAGCGGGGGACCGUAAGGCCUCGCGCGAUUGGAGCGGCCGAUGUCAGAUUAGGUAGUUGGUGGGGUAAAGGCUCACCAAGCCAACGAUCUGUAGCUGGUCUGAAAGGACGACCAGCCACACUGGGACUGAGACACGGCCCAGACUCCUACGGGAGGCAGCAGUGGGGAAUUUUGGACAAUGGGCGCAAGCCUGAUCCAGCAAUGCCGCGUGCAGGAAGAAGGCCUUCGGGUUGUAAACUGCUUUUGUACGGAACGAAACGGCUCUGGUUAAUACCCGGGGCUAAUGACGGUACCGUAAGAAUAAGCACCGGCUAACUACGUG
rnacentral:rRNA from 1 species